GUCUACGGCCAUGCCAUUCUGAACGUGCCCAAUCUCAUCUGAUCUCAGAAGCUAAGCAGGGUUGGGCCUGUUUAGUACUUGGAUAAGAGACCACCUCGGAAUACCAGGUGCUGUAGGCA
rnacentral:rRNA from 1 species